UUGAGUUCCCGCAACCUUCCCGUAGAAGAUGAUGAAGGUGCUGACGGUAGUGAAGCGGAUGGUGAGGAGGAUGAGGCCGGUUCGGAAGAAGAAUAAAGCACUAUGUUUUUUUUUUGUUUAUGUUUUCUGUUAUAUGUUGUUCUAGUGUUUUUAUUGUUGUUAAACUAUGUUUAUGCUUGUCAUGUCUACCAAACACUUAACUUUUAAUCCUGUUUAUUCUGUCAUAUGUUGUGAUUCAAUGCUUUUCUGAUAAUC
rnacentral:lncRNA from 1 species